rnacentral:tRNA from 1 species
UCUAUUGUGGCAGAAUAGUGUAAUGAACUUAAAAUUCAUCAAUGAAUUUUUUUUUCCUUUAGAA